UGCGAGUCAUUGUAGCAAUACAAGGCAGACGGCUCAGUAACGCGUAGUCAAUCUACCCUAUGGACGGGAAUAACCUCGGGAAACUGAGAAUAAUGCCCGACAGAACAUUAUACCUGGAACGGUUUAUGUUUCAAAUGAUUUAUCGCCGUAGGAUGGGACUGCGGCCUAUCAGUUUGUUGGUGAGGUAAUGGCCCACCAAGACUAUUACAGGUACGGGCUCUGAGAGGAGUAGCCCGGAGAUGGGUACUGAGACACGGACCCAGGCCCUAUGGGGCGCAGCAGGCGAGAAAACUUUGCAAUGUGCGAAAGCACGACAAGGUUAAUCCGAGUGGUUUCUGCUAAAGAAACCUUUUGCUAGUCCUAGAAACACUAGUGAAUAAGGGGUGGGCAAGUUCUGGUGUCAGCCGCCGCGGUAAAACCAGCACCUCAAGUGGUCAGGAUGAUUAUUGGGCCUAAAGCAUCCGUAGCUCGUUUUGUAAGUUUUCGGUUAAAUCCAUACGCUUAACGUAUGGGCUGCCGGGAAUACUGCAUAACUAGGAAGUGGGAGAGGUAGACGGUACUCGGUAGGAAGGGGUAAAGUCCUUUGAUCUAUUGAUGACCACCUGUGGCGAAGGCGGUCUACCAGAACACGUUCGACGGUGAGGGAUGAAAGCUGGGGGAGCAAACCGGAUUAGAUACCCGGGUAGUCCCAGCUGUAAACUAUGCAAACUCAAUGAUGCAUUGGCUUAUGGCCAAUGCAGUACUGCAGGGAAGCCGUUAAAUUUACCGCCUGAGAAGUACGUACGCAAAUAUGAAACUUAAAGGAAUUAACGGGGGAGCACCACAAAGGAUGAAACCUGCGG
rnacentral:rRNA from 1 species